UGCCGCGGCUCCCUUCAGCCCCUUGCCGUAUCCCGAGAGCGGCGAUGCGGCUCCUGGACCCCAGCAGCGCAUCGGCCCGUGCCAGCGGAGCCGGGAACCUCAGCUGCGGGCAGGAUUGAAAUGAUGUGGAGAGCCCUGCCUGCCCUGGUGGUACGGGGGCUGUAGUCAGGAGGCAAGGAGGAGCAAAGGAGGAGAAUAUUGCCUCAUCUUCUGCUCACAACAAGCCCAGGCCACCUGGCAUGGGAGCGGUAUGGGCAUAGCAGGGAGCAUGUGAAUCACCCUGGACGUGCAGUUCUGUGAAGAAGAGGUGUGUGUUUGUGUUGGAAGUGCUGUAAUGUGUGGCACACUGAGACUUCUACCUGCUUACUACAACUGAUAUUCCCUGUUCUGCAAGACUGGGAGAAAAAGAGCAUAUCCAAUGAAAGGGAUCCUUGGAUUUUGGAUCU